UUCAGCAUUUCACUGUCAGGUCUACUACACCUGUUGUAUUCAGCAUUUCACUGUAAGGUCUACUACACCUGUUGUAUUCAGCAUUUCACUGUAAGGUCUACUACACCUGUUGUAUUCAGCAUUUCACUGUCAGGUCUACUACACCUGUUGUAUUCAGCAUUUCACUGUAAGGUCUACUACACCUGUUGUAUUCAGCAUUUCACUGUCAGGUCUACUACACCUGUUGUAUUCAGCAUUUCACUGUCAGGUCUACUACACCUGUUGUAUUCAGCAUUUCACUGUGAGGUCUACUACACCUGUUGUAUUCAGCAUUUCACUGUGAGGUCUACUACACCUGUUGUAUUCAGCAUUUCACUGUAAGGUCUACUACACCUGUUGUAUUCAGCAUUUCACUGUCAGGUCUACUACACCUGUUGUAUUCAGCAUUUCACUGUGAGGUCUACUACACCUG
ensembl:lncRNA